rnacentral:rRNA from 1 species
GCACCUUCGGGUGUGAAUUAGCGGCGAACGGGUGAGGAACACGUGAAGAAUCUGCCUUCAACUCUGGGAUAACUCCGGGAAACCGGGGCUAAUACCGGAUAUGAGCCUUGAUCGCAUGAUUGGGGCUGGAAAGUUUUUCGGUUGAAGAUGACUUCGCGGCCUAUCAGCUUGUUGGUGAGGUAAUGGCUCACCAAGGCGACGACGGGUAGCCGGCCUGAGAGGGCGACCGGCCACACUGGGACUGAGACACGGCCCAGACUCCUACGGGAGGCAGCAGUGGGGAAUAUUGGGCAAUGGAGGAAACUCUGACCCAGCGACGCCGCGUGAGGGAUGAAGGCCUUCGGGUUGUAAACCUCUUUCAGUAGGGAAGAAGCGAAAGUGACGGUACCUACAGAAGAAGCACCGGCUAACUAUGUGCCAGCAGCCGCGGUAAUACAUAGGGUGCAAGCGUUGUCCGGAAUUAUUGGGCGUAAAGAGCUCGUAGGUGGUUCGAUACGUCGGAUGUGAAAAUCAGGGGCUCAACCCCUGACCUGCAUCCGAUACGGUCGAGCUAGAGUUUGGUAGGGGAGACUGGAAUUCCUGGUGUAGCGGUGGAAUGCGCAGAUAUCAGGAGGAACACCGAUGGCGAAGGCAGGUCUCUGGGCCAAUACUGACACUGAGGAGCGAAAGCGUGGGGAGCGAACA